rnacentral:miRNA from 1 species
CCAACGGCAGAUAGUGCCUACAAUGUUUCCUUGUGUCGCCGUCAGUCAUUCAUGUUACUCCAUGAAUGUAGAAUCGUAGCUCAGUACGUGUAAAUAAUUUCAUAUUUUCCGCAAGACAAUUCUAUAAUACAAAUGUAUACAGGAGUGGGUCAAGCGACGGGCCCGCGCCGUGUCACCAGUGCGUAGGAGCACCGCUGCGUCAUCCACGUGCAUCUCAAAAACCUUUCCACAAAAACUCACGCUAACCGACUAGCGAGGCAAAAGGCGACGAAGCUUUUAAACUUUAGGAACUUUUUCCCGUCGUAUCGCAUUCGUCAAGUGACAAGUACCUACACAAAGUGUCUAAUUAGUAUUCAUCUGGGCGCGUGUAGACCUCUUCGCGGUGGGGACGGGUUAUUAGCCGGCGCCGCCUCCGCGCCCAGGCAUAUUGUUCCGAGUUCUGCCCACCGAGCGCCGUACGCUCGCCCGACCAACGAUAAUUCAUAUUGUCAAUAUUUGUACUGCAACAACGAACCGACGAUUUCACCAGAGGAAGCCGAGCCGGUGGCUGGGAAGGCAAGAAGUCGGCAUAGCUGUUUGAAAAUGAUAUACGGCUGUGUCACUUCGAGCCAGCUCAAUCCACCGGCUUUCUGCAUAAAGAAGAUUUGCGGACGCUGCCGUAACGUGAAAAUUCGGAUCGCUCCCGUAGCGGCGCGACUCCGGCCGGGAGAGGGCGCAUUGACAGCUGUCACUGGGCACUAUUUCGCUUUCUUCGCGGCCGGACGUGGGAGGAAAUCGUUUAUUUUUAUCACACACGACGAUGUUCCCGUAGAGUGCGACCGGCUGUGUACGUGCGUGACGAAACGAUCGAAAACAAGACGACAAAAUGCCGAACGAGGAGGUGUUGGGUCCGCGGAAGACGAUGUUCGUACUAGUGAUUGUUGUGGGAUGUUUCGCGGUGCUGUGGCCCAGGAUUCUGUCGCCGCUGAUCUUGGGCCACUCGCGGGACCAGCUCAAACCGAACGCGUUCGACCGGGAGGCAGGAUGCUGCGAAGUGAUGUUCGAGACAGAACUGGCGGUAUUGGAACUGAUCAACGAGGUAUGUAGUUCAGCAGUCCACGUGGACGGAAAGCUCUCUCCAUACGCCGCGGCGGAGUGUCGCAAAGCCGUCAACGAGACCUGCGGAGUAGAUAUAGCGGCAUUCCUCAAACGAAAUGAGAACAUCGGCAAGACCUCCAAGAAACUAGUCGAGACUAUGAAGAACAGCAACUCCUCGUGCCUUAAGGAGCAUUUUGGCGUGCCCGUCUGGAGUCUCGCUCCUCACCAGGCGUUCAACUCAUGGACCCUACAAGACACUGUAAAACAAGAGCGUCCUCUGAACCGCGGCGCAGGGCCGCAUCCAGCACUGCGAGAGCGGGGCCGCGCGAUUCCUCAGGGCGUGGCCCCCGCGAGACCCGCGACACCGAUGCCGCCCCACGUUCGGGUACGAUCCUCCCCGCUAUCAGUGUACUAUGAGCUGGACAUCAAGCCACCACCGAUCCCGGGCAUGCGGCCCCCGCUCGGCUCGCCCGGGGGUCCGGUGCCCACGCCCAAGUCGUCCAUGGGGUUCGUCAUGCCGAUCUACACGAUAUGCAUCAUAGUGUUCUUCGUGUACACACUUAGCAAGAUCCUGUUCAAGCGCACCGCGUCCCCCUACGAGCCUGUUAGUCCCGACCCCCACUUCAGGAGCAGGGUGUUCCGCGACGACUCCAGGACGUCGCCCGACAAGCUCGGGGAUGUUGAACUGGAGGCGCUGCGAGCGCGGCUUGCGGAGACUGAGCGCGCCAUGCAAAGGAUCGUCGGCCAACUGGCUCAGCGCGACGCGGAGGCCCAGGAUGAGCAGGCUCGCCCGUACACGAACGGUACAAUACUUCACAACACCGGCCCGGUGCAUAUCGUCGCCAGCGAAUACCAGGAAGUAUCCAAGGAAAAGACUCCUGAACCUCAGAGGGAAGUGCCAGAACCUUCACCUGAAGUGAAGGAACCUGCCCCUGAACCUGAAAAGCCUCUGUCAAAAGAAUCUUUAGAGACGAAAGAGUCUGAGGAAUUAGAGGCUGAAAAACAAGAAGAAUUGGUUCAAGAAAUACCUGCAACACAAUCUGAAGAAGCAGAGACGGACGAUGUUAAAGAAGAGAAGGGUCCAGAAGAAAAUGACUUAAAACUCGUUGCUGACGAUGAAGUGGACGAAAAUGGUGGCGAAGCUAAAUUCGAUAAAGAAGAAUCGGGUUCAGAGCCAGAGUUAAUAGAAAUUAAUAAUAAAGAGGAUGAACUGAUUAAAUUAACAAACGAUGACGUAGAAAGCGAUGACUACGUCAAAGUGGUACAGGAUUUCUUGAACGAGGAAGCUAAAAUAGACGUGAAAGAAGAGAAACAAUCGACUCCGGAUCUCCUGGAAGUAGCUAUUAAAGAGGACUCGCCUGAUAAACCUGAGGAUGACCAAGAAAAUGCUAGUGUAAAGCACGAGGCGGAGGAAGUGAAGUCGAUAUUCCUGGAGACGGAGAUUCCGCAGAAGUCUCGGGUCCUCGUCGCGGACUUCGUCGAAGACAGGCCCGAAGACUCCGCGCCCAGUAACAAUUCCCCAAUGGUGGUGAGCGGUAAAAUGACUUUGUCACUCAUACAGGACGCACCGAGAGACACUCCUGAGAAGGAUCCAGAAUCAACAGUGGAUGAUUUCACAACAGCCAGUGCAAUCACUCAACCCGCCGCUGAUAAACAAGUUGAAGAAGAGUCCGACGAAGAAAUAGAGAUCGAAGAAGAAAUAGAAGUGGAAGAGAUCGAGGAAGAGGAAGAAGUUGAGGAGAUUGAGGAAGACGAAGAGAACGAACCGGUGGAGGCGAAGAAACCAGAAGCAAAGGAACCAGUCAAAGUGCAAGAAGUAAAGGAAGCUGUUAAAGUACAGGAAGAAGUAAAACAAGCAGAAGAAGAUUCCGAAGAGGAGGUAGAAGUAAAUGAAGAUGAGGAACCAAUACAAGAUUCGAAAUUUGAACCGGUUAAAGAACUAGAUGCCGAUAAAGAAGAAGAAUAUUCUGAGGAAGAAAUUGAGGAAAAUGAGGAACCAGUGAAAGAGUCAGUUAAGGUAAAGGAACCGGUGAAAUUAAAAGAGCCAGUUAAAGGAAAACCAUCUGUAGAACAUUCAGAAGAUGAUAAGGAACAGAAGAAAGCGAAAGGAGAUAAAGAAUGAACUGAUAGGAAUUAACUUGUAGUGAGAGAAUGUUUGGUGGUUCUGUAAAGAAAAAUAUUAAACAAGUAAAAUGGAUUCAAAUAAAAAUACCUACAUUAUUUGGCCCUUUAAAUGGAAUCCAAAGAAGGAAUUAGGAAGGCAUAAUUUUUGAGCACCACCGAAAAUUUUUCACGUUUGAAGAAAAAAUACAUCAGGCAAAAACAACAUUAGUAUAUUUCAUACGGAACCACUAAACAGUUAUUUUAUCUUUAAAUAUAAUUUUAAAAAUGUUUAUUUUUGCAAGUUAUAUUUUCGUAUGCUUUCGCUCGUCACGUUAUUUUUUUACAAUUAUAUUUUUACCUUCGAUUGUCGUUUAUUUAAGAUGUAUAUUUCGUGCAGAUGUCGCCGUUCGCUUGUAGUAUAAGAUUUUAAGUGUGUUUAUGGACGUGGCAGUUUCUGGGGCAUAAUUUAUCAAUAUAAAAAAAAGACACUAAAAUUUUAGGCCUUGACAAAUCUAGUCAUUUUAAAAUUACUAUACUAAAAAGAUUUACAAUUACUCAGGUUUGUCUAUAAUCUUCAAUGACAACAAAAAUUAGCAUUGUAUGUUCAUCGAUCGAAAAUAACCAAUCAAAAUAAGUAAUUAGUAUGCCAUCAUUUAAUUCCAAUUUUUUCUUACAGUGAUUUGAUAAUCUAUUAAUUUCGAUCGAGAGAAUGUAAGAUGAUGCCUCAGUAUGCCGUAAGAGUGUCCAUGAACAUGGAACUACGAAUUUAGCAUUGCUCUCAGUGUUCGAUAUUUUUGUGCCAAAUUUACUUCGAGCUUUUUAAUUUUGUCAUAGUUUUACAUUGACCCCACACAUUUUGUAUUACAUUGACACCCCAUUGGCAAGUUUCCGGUUUAAACUACGAUAUUUAAAGAACCGGAAUGAGGUAGCCAGAAAAAUUACUGGAUAUUAUGAGCUUCACAGUUAAUGCGUCAUGGUGAAGAACACAAUGCUUUACCAUGUACUUGUAAUUUAAAGUUUUGAAAGAUUGUUUUUCGAAAACGUUGCUCGUCUCAUACUGUUCAAUUACAUAUUUUUACUGCUUAAUAUAUAUAUUUCAAUGGGGUGAUAUAACUAACUAUGUAUCAAUGUAUCAUUUAUAGGUUAGCGGUGAUGGACACGGCAGAGAAAAAAUCGAUUAAAUAUUGAAACUAUGACUCAUGAUCAUUCGCAUAUGGUUUCUAGUUACGUAAGUGUAAUUUCAAGCGAAGCGAAUUUUUUUUAUGAUAAUUUUAACCUUAUAGGAGACAUAAUUAGAUGUGGUUUCCAUUAUCUUCGAUUAGUCUAAUUGCCGGCACUCCGUCAGCGCUGAACCUUUAAAUUCACAGUCGCUGCUGGUCAUGGUUGAUGACGUCAUUUGUUGUUUCUUAGGCUGUCUUGCCAAAAUAUUUGUGGAUUAGUAUAGACAAUUUUUUUACCCUUAGCAAAUCUAAUUUGUGGCAAAUCUUCCUUCCAAAUGUUUAGCCAAAUUUUUACAAUGUUUUCCUAUUAUACACUAAUGUAUGAAUUAUAGGUAAUAAUAUAAAUUAAUAUUGUAUGAUCGCUUGCAAAAAAUAUUGUAUUAUAAUUAACAUUUUUUUUUUGAUUCUGUUAUGUAAAAUUUGUUAGAAUAUAAGAACCAGUUAUGGACUUGCCGACGUAUAAUUAUCAAAAAAAAAAGGUUGGAUUGAUCCUACAAUUUUUUACAGCAAUUUUUCUUGCAAGCGAUUUUUUAUUAGUAUCAUGCCCCAACCUCUACAUGUGUUAAUGUAUUGGGUGUGUUAGAAUAGACGGUAAUUUUGCACUGGCGUGUAGUUUUUAUGCAUUUAAGUUUAUAUCUUUGUGAUUUGUUAAGAAAAACAUUAUUUAUUUUGUUAUAUUUUUUUGCGGAAUGAACCCUUUAUGUGCGGAAUUUUUCGUCAAUAUUUUAUCAUACCUCAUUGUAUGACGGUUAGGUCUAUGGGGUAACGUGAUACAUCGCAUAAUAAGGGUGAAAAUAUUUAUUUUUGAAUGUUAACUAAUUUAUAUUAUUGAUUGUAAAUUUUUGUUUACUGUGGAAAUGUUUUUAGACGUUUUAUAAUCGAGUGUAACUUAUUAAUACAUGGUAUUCAGCAUUCCUUGUCUUUCUGAAUGUGUAGUAGAUCCAGAUCAGAUUGUCUAUUUAAAUGUAAACAUACACAUUUCCGAUAUGUAUUGCUUGUUUUUAGUUGUAAUAAAAUAACAGU